AGUGAGGAAUAUUGGUCAAUGGGCGCAAGCCUGAACCAGCCAUCCCGCGUGCAGGAAGACGGCGCUAUGCGUUGUAAACUGCUUUUCCAGGGAGAGAAACUUGCGCACGUGUUGCGCAAUUGACGGUACCCUGGGAAUAAGCAUCGGCUAACUCCGUGCCAGCAGCCGCGGUAAUACGGAGGAUGCGAGCGUUAUCCGGAUUCAUUGGGUUUAAAGGGUGCGUAGGCGGACUAUUAAGUCAGUGGUGAAAUCCUGCAGCUUAACUGCAGAACUGCCAUUGAUACUGAUAGCCUUGAGUUUGGUUAAGGUAGGCGGAAUGUGUAAUGUAGCGGUGAAAUGCUUAGAUAUUACACAGAACACCAAUUGCGUAGGCAGCUUACUGAGCCGACACUGACGCUGAGGCACGAUAGCGUGGGGAUCGAACAGGAUUAGAUACCCUGGUACUCCACGCCGUANACGAUGAUUACUCUCUGUUGGCGAUACUCUGUCGGCGGCUAAUCACG
rnacentral:rRNA from 1 species